rnacentral:rRNA from 1 species
UACGGGGGGAGCAAGCGUUGUUCGGAUUUACUGGGCGUAAAGGGCGCGUAGGCGGUCGUGACAAGUCACUUGUGAAAUCUCCGGGCUUAACUCGGAAAGGUCAACUGAUACUGUGCGGCUAGAGUGCGGAAGGGGCAACUGGAAUUCUUGGUGUAGCGGUGAAAUGCGUAGAUAUCAAGAGGAACACCUGCGGCGAAGGCGGGUUGCUGGGCCGACACUGACGCUGAGACACGAAAGCCAGGGGAGCGAACGGGG